rnacentral:rRNA from 1 species
GGGGGGGGGGGGGGGGGGGGGGGGUGGGGGGGGGGGGCGGGGGCAGAGGAGGGGCUUGGGCGUCUGGGGUUAGCGGCGGACGUGUGAGUCGCACGUGGCUAACCUACCUGUACGACUGGGAUGGCUGCGGGAACCCGGCGCUAGUAGCGGAUACUAUCUUGACUCGCAUGUUUCAAUAGUGACAGACGUUUUUUCUGUCCCUUAUAGAUAGAUCCGCUCCUCAUUAUCUAGUUGGUAAGUUCACGGCUUACCAAGUCAACGCUGCGUAGCCCACCUGAAAGGGGGAGCGGCCACACUGGAACUGAGACACGGUCCAGACUCCUAAGGGAGGCAGCAGUAGGGAAGCUGCCGCAAUGGGCGAAAGCCGGACGGAGCACCGCCGCGUGAGUGAUGAAGGUCUUCGGAUCGUAAAACUCUGUUAUGAGGGAAGAACAAAUGUGUAAGUAACUAUGCACGUCUUGACGGUACCUAAUCAGAAAGCCACGGCUAACUACGUG